GGGGCAGAGCGGGGCGGGCACGGGGCGGGCACGGGGCCAUCCGUUGCGGACCAUCGCGCGCAGCCGUGGCCGAUCUGGGAGCACGGGCAGGUGCGGCGCGUGGCUGAGGGGGUCGGUACCGUGGUGGGAGCCCCGCCUAAACCUCCUGCAGCACUUGAAGCCUGGUGAAACUGUGUGAUGGCAGCUCCGAUGACAGAUGCUCAUCGACGGUUCUUGCAGAUUCUGAUGUCUAAUGGGGUAACAGAAGGAUCAGAGGCCAGGAAAUUACAUCAGCACUGCUGUGAAAUGGAUAAAGUUUACUAUGCACACGAUAAACUGGAUGAUUUCAUCAGCACCAUUAACAGCCACCUGCAGCCUUUGUUCAUGCAGAUCCGGAAGGGGUUCUCGGAGGACGAUGGCAGAGCACAUUAUGCUGUGGUAGGUCCCUGCUGGGCUGUUUGUGUGGGGCUGCCAGUGGCUGCAGGAGCUGCUGGAGGAUAAACUGUCACAGCCCAGGUGUGUGGGAAAAAGACAUGGCAGCAAGGAGGACAGCAGUGUUGGAGUUACUUAGCAUAAACAUUGCUUAAGUGCUGAAGUGAGAUUCCUUUGCCACAGGAGACUUUCUUACCUGAGACAGACUUUUUAAACUAGAAAACAGAGAGAGCUGUCCAGCAUCAGUUUUCUUUUUCUCCCACUCAAAAACCAGCUGAGCA